rnacentral:rRNA from 1 species
GAUGAACGCUGGCGGCAGGCCUAACACAUGCAAGUCGAACGGUAAGACGAGGAAGCUUGCUUCCUUGCUUUAGCGGGGCGGAGGGGUGAGACAUGUCUGGGACACCCCCUGAUGGAGGGGGAUACCUAGGGAAAACGGUAGCUAAUACCGCAGAACGUCUCAAGAGCAUAGAUGAAGAGCUUAAGGCGUCUUUCCAUUCACUUUGCCCGGAUGCUACUCGCUAGUAGGUAGGGUAACGGCUCACCGAGGCAACAAGCCAUAGCCGGUCUGAGAGGAUGACCGGCCACACUGGAACUGAGACACGGUCCAGACUCCUACGGGAGGCAGCAGUAGGGAAUAUUGCACAAUGGGCGCAAGCCUGACGGAGCCAUGCCGCGUGUGUGAAGAAGGUCUUCGGAUUGUAAAGUUCUGUCAGCAGGGAAGAAGAUAUGAAAGUGAAACCGUGCGCACAUUGACGUUACCCGCAGAAGAAGCACCGGCUAACUACGUG